GAAAUCUAUUUAGGUAGAGCGUCAGACGAAUACCUUCGGGGGUAGAGCACUGAAUGGGCUAGGGGGCCUCACCGGCUUACCAAACCUAAUCAAACUCCGAAUACCGAAGAGUACUAUCUGGCAGACAGACUACGGGUGCUAAGGUCCGUGGUCGAGAGGGAAACAGCCCAGACCGCCAGUUAAGGUCCCAAAGUUGUGGCUAAGUGGGAAAGGAUGUAGGGAUCCCAAAACAACCAG
rnacentral:rRNA from 1 species